rnacentral:rRNA from 1 species
CGGCGGACGGGUGAGUAACACGUGGGUAACCUGCCCAAGAGAUCGGGAUAACACCUGGAAACAGAUGCUAAUACCGGAUAACAACAGAUGAUGCCUAUCAACUGUUUAAAAGAUGGUUCUGCUAUCACUCUUGGAUGGACCUGCGGUGCAUUAGCUAGUUGGUAGGGUAACGGCCUACCAAGGCGAUGAUGCAUAGCCGAGUUGAGAGACUGAUCGGCCACAUUGGGACUGAGACACGGCCCAAACUCCUACGGGAGGCAGCAGUAGGGAAUCUUCCACAAUGGACGCAAGUCUGAUGGAGCAACACCGCGUGAGUGAAGAAGGGCUUCGGCUCGUAAAGCUCUGUUGUUGGUGAAGAAGGACAGGGGUAGUAACUGACCUUUGUUUGACGGUAAUCAAUUAGAAAGUCACGGCUAACUACGUGCCAGCAGCCGCGGUAAUACGUAGGUGGCAAGCGUUGUCCGGAUUUAUUGGGCGUAAAGCGAGUGCAGGCGGCUCGAUAAGUCUGAUGUGAAAGCCUUCGGCUCAACCGGAGAAUUGCAUCAGAAACUGUCGAGCUUGAGUACAGAAGAGGAGAGUGGGACUCCAUGUGUAGCGGUGAAAUGCGUAGAUAUAUGGAAGAACACCGGUGGCGAAGGCGGCUCUCUGGUCUGUUACUGACGCUGAGGCUCGAAAGCAUGGGUAGCGAACAGGAUUAGAUACCCUGGUAG